rnacentral:rRNA from 1 species
CCUACGGGUGGCAGCAGUGGGGAAUAUUGCACAAUGGGGGAAACCCUGAUGCAGCGACGCCGCGUUAGUGAAGAAGUCUCUCGGUACGUAAAGCUUUAUCAGCAGGGAAGAAAAUGACGGUACCUGACUAAGAAGCCCCGGCUAACUACGUGCCAGCAGCCGCGGUAAUGCGUAGGGGGCCAGCGUUAUCCGGAUUUACUGGGUGUAAAGGGAGCGUAGACGGCAGCACAAGUCUGGAGUGAAAUCCCGGGGCUUAACCCCGGAACUGCUUUGGAAACUGUGCGGCUGGAGUGGAGGAGGGGUAAGCGGAAUUCCUAGUGUAGCGGUGAAAUGCGUAGAUAUUAGGAGGAACACCGGCGGCGAAGGCGGCUUACUGGACUGUAACUGACGUUGAGGCUCGAAGGCGUGGGGAGCAAAUAGGAUUAGAUACCCCUGUAGUC